GGGUGCGAUCAAACCAGCACUAAUGCACCGGAUCCCAUCAGAACUCCCGCAGUUAAGCGUGCUUGGGCGAGAGUAGUACUAGGAUGGGUGACCUCCUGGGAAGUCCUCGUGUUGCACCCC
rfam:Gossypium raimondii scaffold_944_contig_2, whole genome shotgun sequence.